UAUCCUGCUCAUGCUUACAUGGAGUACCAGGCACCAUUGCUUCAAAGGGAGUUUUCAGGAGCUUACAUUCAAGUGGAUCAAGGACCUCAACAUGAAACCAGAUACACUGAAUUUAAUAGAAGAGAAAGUGGAAAAUAAACUCGAAUACAUUGGCAUAGUGAGAAAUUUCCUGAAUAUAACACACCAAUAGCUGAGACUCUAAGACCAACAAUCCAUAAAUGGGACCUCAUGGAACAGCAAAAUUUCUUUAAAGCAAAGGACACUGUCAACAAGACAAAAGGCAAGGUUCAGAGGUCACCAUGGAGAAGAUAGUUGAAAGAUUGCAAGAACCAAAUGUAGUGAAUGACUACAAAGAAAGUCUGUUUUCCAGAAACAAUAAGGCAUUUGUACACGUGAAAUGAUAGUGACUAAAAUUAUAUGUAGAAGACAAAUUCAACAUCAAGCCAGACAAAGUCCAGCAUCUAGGGACAAGAGGUUUCAGUCAUGGUCUUACCAGCGGGAUGCUGUCACCAGUAACAAGAUAGAGUCUAUUUUUAAUAUUUCUGAUGGAGAUCAUGGUGAUGACUAUGAUCUGUACUGCUUCUGGAGAAACUGCUGAAUUCCAUGGUCCAUACUGAUACCCAAGAUCAUUAUGAGAAAUUGGGCAGGAAUCCAUUAUAUCUAUUGCUGAUGGAGAUGCUGAUGAUGGCUAUGAUCUGUGUUGCUGCUUGAGAAUCUGAUAAAUUCCAAAGUCCUUACUGAUGUUUGAAUUCAUAUUGAGAUGAAUUGUACUCCCAGCCUAACCAUUUUGAUGUCAUGAUGCAUCCUACCACUAGAGAAGAGGUUUCUCUACAAGGUCCAACUAGGUAUCUGAAAAUGUCUGAAUGUGCAUGAUAUUUCCUGGCAAAGACAAGAUGGUAUACCCAGAUAAAUGCUGCCAUAGGCACCAAGGUCAUGAGUGACCCUUGCUUUGGACCUUACUGCCACUUUGGACCUGAUCCCAACUGCCAAGGGAAAUAUAUUGUUGUCACUCAUCAGUGACAAUUGUCAAUUUUGGAGAAGGUCCCGUGAGGUGCUGAGAAGAAGUUAUAUCCUUUUGUUUUAGAAUAAAAUGUUGCGUAGAUAUCUG
rnacentral:lncRNA from 1 species